GCAUUUGUGGCUAAACGGUUACGGCAUCAGACUUUUAAUCUGAGGAUUGCGGGUUCGAAUCCCGUCAAAUGCA